UCCGUGAAGUAGCUGGUGAGGGAAGAAGAGAUUCAGUUAGCUGGCAACUCUCUCAUUACCACUAAUAAAGUAUUUACCUGCUUUUUUGCCUUGAUAAAUUACAGCUCUGGCCCCAUUGCAAUCGUUUGCUCAUAAAAUGCCUCGUGGAAAAGUCUGGCCAAUCAAUUUUUUAAAUGGAUGUUCCUGAUGUAAGGCCAGGUUCUAUAAUUACAUUUAAAGUGGUUUAAUUCAGAGCUGGGGCAAGACCCAGUGAAGAAUCCUGAUUUUAUCAGAAUUUAAAAGCCUGAAGACUUGUAAAGAACGGUGUCUCCAUUAUCUGCCCUCGUUUGAGAAAAACAGAUUGCAGGAUUAACUGAACUGCUGCAUAAACAAAUUAAAUUUGGGUAGACAAUAACACAAAUGUUGUUCAUCAUUAAGGUUUCUGGAUUAAUAAUGACCAGAAAAACAGGCCACCUCGGUGUUGCGACAUGGCCUUUGCAGUUGUUCUGAUGCUUAAUUGAAUCUCUUUUGGUGUUUGGAUCUGCUACCUUUUCACUGAAAACUGAAUAAAUGCUGUCUUACCUGGAGAACAAUAUCCAUAGUAACAAUCGCCCAAAACUUGAUGCAGUCUUCCAAUAACCAAGAACAUUGGUAUUUUCACUCUUACUUUAUUUGCAUGCUAAUUGUCUUGGAACAGGAAACUUCUUUGGGGUCUGAGCCACUUUGAUUAUACAGGCUUCAGUCUCCUCUGGAUGUGAGUUUGCUGUUCCUUGUAUUACUAAUGGAUGCCAUUUGUGUACACAGGGGAGGAAAAAGGGGUGUUCCCUGUAGGUGUGCACCUUCCAAGACUUGUAGAUAAAGACAGAGGUAAAGCCCUAAGGGCCACUGAAGUAUUGGAAGACGAAUAUAAUGGCGAGAGACUAUGUUAGGAUCAACAUGACACUCAGCUGUGUCAGUUACUGUCUAUCACCUGAACAGAAUGUAGCCUAAUUUCUUGCUUAACUGCUUACCUUGUUCUUCAUUCAACUAUUAAUUCCACUGAUAUUUGUUCUGUACCCACUAUGGCCCCAGCACUCUCCUGGGUCCUGGGAAAAUAGCCGUGAUUGAAAUAAACAAACAUCCCUACUACCGUGGAGUUGCGUUCUUGAGAUGAUUAGGGAAUACAGCACAUGAUGAUUGCUUAGCCAAAAAUUGUAAAUGAAGCAGGGAUAGUGGGAAGAGUGUUGGGGAAAGAGUGGACAAUGAAGGGCUCAGUCCUGAGGCAGUGACUUAGUGAGCCUUCAAGGGAAGGGAGGGAGAGAGCCAUGUGGAUAUUUUGGGGGAGAGGGGAAGCAUUCCAGAGAGAGAAUAGCAAGUGCAAGAAAUGCAACAGAGUAUACCUGGACCACUUAGGGAGGUGGGAUGAAGAUCCCCAAAAGAGGGAUAGUUGGGAUGAGUUCAGGAAGGUGAUGGAUGAAUGGAUUCCUCUUACUGGAGGGAUCUGUUCACAUCUGUGUGGGAUCGCUCCAUGGGCAGCCAGCUUAACAACUGCAUACAACGGGCAUCUUGCAAACAUUCACUGAAUGAGUUGCACAUUGCAAUGUAUACAUUCUAUACUAUCUGGCUCUGAAUGGUCUUUUAUAAAUAUAAGAAUGUAAUUCUGCUAAACAAAUAGGUGGCAAAACUCUGCAAAAAAUGUCCCAAAUGUCCUAAGGAAGGGAGGAUGCCAUUAUGAAUAAUAAGAAAGGCUUGCAUGAUAGUCGAGUUUCAAGAGUCUUGCUGAGCUCCUGCAGCAUGGACUCAGUGCUGGAAGGCAUAUCAUGGCACUCUGUCCGAGUACUGCUGGCCUCCGUAGUUACUCAAGGACAUGGAAUCCUGAAUGGAUGCAGUGGCAUUGAUGGAAUCCUGAAUGGAUGCAGUGGCAUUGAUGGGAGGGUCGAACUCAGGAGGGUGACAUCUGGACAACUCCCCAGAUGUCAGCCUACUGAGAUGUUCCUGAACAGAAACAUCAACAACAGCCUCAGUCCAGAUGAGUCCAAACACAGCUGGGCCUGGAUGGUCUCUUCUUCUCAGAUCUAAAAGUUUCAGGGAAUUAUGGACUUAUGUAUCUUGAGACAUUCGUUUAGUUAGAAACCAGUGGGCCCUCUUUAAUUCGUCACCACCUUUCCUCCAUUGUUGAAAUGCCCCAUGUUUCUAUGCACCUUCAGAAGUUCCCACCUUCUUGGUUUGGGGCAUCUACAGCCCCCUCCCACCACUUUCUCUCUGCUUUCCUCACAGGAUAAAGUACGAUUGUAUUCCUACUACCCAGGUGCUCCCAUGUUCUUUCCUGCUCGGCGCCUAUAUGCCUCUGCCUUGUGUUGCCCAUUGGAUACUCUUUAUUGUCUGUAUCCAAGACGGAGGUCUAGGGAAAUACACUUCCCUCAAGAAUGAGCUCCUUGCCCUGGACUACAGCCCACCAUAUACCCAGAGCCCCUGCCCAUUAAGCCCAACACAAGUCAUUAGAGAAUCAAGUGGCCCUUAAUUUCCUGAAAUACUUCUAGGGAUGCACAGUGUCUGGGGGAAGUCAAAGACUUAAGUUUGAUGCUUUUGAAAAUUAUUUCUUUUGCUGGCUUUGGAACUCUCCACGGCUUCACCCAGUUCCUAGCAAAAAUGGCACCUUGAUAACCCCUUUUCUCAUCAUAUUAAACAGUUUGCAAAGCAGUGACCUAUGAGACCUGCAGUUUUAUUUCUUUUACGCUCCCCACUACUGCCACUGGAAAUGGAAAAACAUGUGGGGCUCCUUGUCCAGAAGGGGACAGUCUCUGUGGCAAACUGUUGUUGCCAAUAUUCCCAGAAUUUGUUGGGGGCAGCCAUUUUUAUGUACAAAAGAAAGAAGCUUCUGGAUCUGUAUUUGGCCUACCCAAGCCCCGCCCCUCAAGAAAGAACUCUUGGGCUCUGUCAUCAUAAGAAAGCUAGCCUUCACGAAUUGGUGUGAAUAUACAACCAGAGAUAUGAAAAAUUGUGCUCUAUAUGUGUAAUAUGAAUUGUAAUGCAUUCCGCUGUCAUAUAUAAAUAAAACAAAUUAAUUAUAAAAAAGAAAGCUAGCCUUGAAAUCAAAUCAAAAAGUUGACCACUAAGGACUCCUUCUCAAUCUUAUUGCUGCUUCAGUGGUAGUUCAUAGUGACAACUUGAAAAGGGUGCUAAUUGCCAGGUGCAGUGGUGUGUGCCUGUGAUUCCAGUGACUGGGGAGGCUGAGGCAGGAGGAUCACAAGUUCAAAGUCAGUCUCAGCAACCUAGUAAGACACUCUGAAAUUCAGUGAGACUCUGUCUCUAAAAAAAUACAUAAAAGGGCUGGGGAUGUGGCUCAGUGGUUAAGUGCCCCUGAGUUCAAUCCCCAGAACCAAGGCAGGGGGCGGGGAAGGCUCAUUAAAUGAUGCUCCCCCUACCUGGGAUUGCUGGGGCAGUACCAUGAGGAGCAGCAGAGUCCUCCCCAUUUUAAGAACAGCUUCUCUUGUGUCUGUCUGCAACAGCAGACUGCUCUCAGCUUGCCAAAUAAAUGAACUGAAUAUACAUAAAGCUACACGCUUAGCCAGGGGUUAAACAGGGUUCCCAGACUCAGAAGCAGGAGGUCUCCUAUUCCAACUCUGACUCUGAUCAGAGGGCAUUUAGAACCAAACAAAAGUUAGAAAGAAGUUGACCAGCAGUUUCCAAAAUGUCCUUGGUCUGCUCUGCUUAUAGACCUUCAGCUCAGCCUCUGAAGCAGGUAUGGGUAAUUAAUAGGAAGUGGCUGCUAUCUGGUAAAGCUGGUGUUAGAUACCCUGCGUUUUAGAGGGCUGUGAGAAGGAACAUUUUCCUCUAAGAGAAAAUAUUUGACUCACAAAAUCUACCCAGUGAAAAAUCCUACUUGCAAGGUUCUUCCUCAAUCCUUGCUUAUUUUGGUCGUGAUUUUUUAAAGCACUCACUGGACGCCCCUGGAGUGACCACUGGAAUGCAGACACCCAUUUCCUUUGUGUUCUGCUUCAUGCUGGGUGCUCAGCCAUUUACCACUCACAUCCCCCAAGUAGUUCAGCUUCUGUUCACACUUUACUCAAUGGUUCCUGAGAUCUUGUUUGUUUCUGGCAAAUUAACAUUUUGACUUUUUAAGUUCAAAGGCUUUCUUUUUAAUUUUAUUUUAGUGCACUGUAAUUAUACAUAAUGGUGGAGGUCACUGUGACAUAUUCAUAUAUGCACAUGAUUUGCUCCAAUUCAUUUCCUGGUGCACUCCUUUUUCUUCACCUCUUCUCUUCCCCAGUUCCCCUUCCUUUUCUCUUCUGGUUUUCCUUCUAUUUAUUUACAUGUAUAUUUUUUUUCACUGAUGCAUCACAUAAAAGUGGGAUUCAUCGGGGUAUAUUCACACAUGCAUCCAGCAUAAUUUUGUUGAUUUUAUUCCCCGGCUCUUCCCUGUUCCCUCACUUCCUCUAUCCUCCUUGACACCUUACCUGUCCUCCACUGGUCUCCCUUCUAUUUUCAUGAGAUCUCCCUACUUUUUUCUCUCUAGCUACUGCAAAUGAGGGAAAAUAUUUGAUCCUUGGCUUUAUGAGUUUGGCUUAUUUCACUCAGCAUGAUAUUCUCGGUUCCAUCUAUUUUCAUGCAAAUGACAUAAUUUCAUUCUCCAUUAUGGCUGUUGUUGAUAGACACAUAGGCUGGUUCUGUAGCCUGGCUAUUGUGAAUUAUGUUGGAAGGCAAUAAAAAAUAAAAUACCUGGGAAUAAAUAUAACCAAGGAGGUGAAAGACCUCUGCAAUGAACAUUACAGAACACUGAAGAAAUGGAAGAUGAUAUUAGAAGAUGAAAAUACCUACCGUGUACCAAGCAGAAUUAAUAUUGCCAAAAUGGUCAUGUGACCAAAAGUGAUCUGUAGAGUUGAUGUAAUCUCCAUAAAAAUUUUAGUGAAAUCCUUUGCAAAACAAGAAGGAAUAAUCUGAAAAUUCAUGUGGGAAAAUGAAAGACCCAGAAUAGACAAAGUAAUUCUGAGCGAUAAGAACAAAGCUGAAAGUAUCACUGUACCCAACUUCAAAUUAUACUACAGAGCUACAGCAAUAAAACAGCAUGGUACAGGCAUAACAACACACAUUUAGAUCAGUGGGACAGAAGAGAAGACAUGCAGAUAAACCCACACAGAUGUAGUCAUCUCAUCUUUGACAAAGGUGCCAAAAACACAAAGUGAAGAAAACAUAUCCUUUUUAACACAUGGUGCCGGGGAAACUGGAUAGCCAUUUGUAUAAGAAUGAAACUAAAUCCCUAUCUAUCACCCUGCACAAAAGCCAACUCAAAAUGGAUGAAAGACCUAGGAAUCAGGCCAGAAAUUGCAACUAUAGAAAAAAAUAGAGUCAACAUUCUAGCAUAUAGGUAUAGGCACAGAAUUUCUUCAUAAGACCCCUCAAGCAUAAGAAAUAAAACCAAGAAUCACUAACAGGAAUGUUAUUAAAAAUCUUUUGCACAGCAAAGAAAAUGUGUAAGAGAUGAAGAGUGAGCCUACAGAAUGGGAGAAAAUCGGUGCUAGUUACUUGUCUGACAGAGGAGUAACAUCCAAAACAUAUAAAGAACUAACACACACACACACACACACACACACACACACACACACACACACACACAGCAGUGGGGGGUGGAGCCCAAACCAAAUAAUGUAACUGACAAUUGGGCAAAUGAACCGAACAAACAUUUCUCAAAAGAAAAAAAUGCAAAUGGCUUAUAAACAUAGGAAAAAAGUGUUUAACAUCACCAGCAACCAGGGAAAUCAAACCCAUCAAGAACAUAAAUAGUAAUAAGUGUUGGCAAGGAUGUGGAAGAAAGGAACACUUACAGUUUCUGUUUAGAAUAGUUUUAAAUUCUUUUCUGAUUCACAUUCAAAAAAAGGAAGCUAUGGAGUCACUAGGUACCUACAUAGCUGAGUUACCCAGAAAUUUUCAGGAAAGCUGGUCAGAUAAAGAACAUAGUAACAAUGGAUAGCCUCAGUUUAACUAGUUAUUGCUCUCAUGAUUUGCAGGGUAUAUCAAGAACUAACUAACUUGAUAAAAAGACUAUAAUAACUCUUAAAAUCCAAAAUGAGCAAAAGCAAAAGACUAGCUUCCCCUUAAGAAAAUCUUCAGACCUACGGACAGUACAAUACUAAUUUUAAAAAUAUCAUAUUUACUUAGAAGCACUCAGAGCGCUUGCAAAACAGCUGCAGACUUGUUUUUGUUUUUUUGUUGUUGCAAUUAUAGAGCGGUAUUCCGUGAACAGAACAAUUUUUUCCUAUGCUCCACCAGAGACGGGCAAAGAUGAAAAAAUGAAACACAACCAUCCUCAUAUAUAAACAAUUUGUCUUGUACAACAGCAAAAACCUGCUGUCGAUUUCCAUGCCGGCAAAGUCAGUGCCUGUUGGAAAUCCCUUCAGGACAAGAUGCACAUUUGGUAGUGGGUUAAGUUUACAAAAGAAUAAAAAAAAAAAAAAAGAUACUGCACAGUUGAAAAAUUAAAUCUUAAACAAUCUUACAUUUCAGUAUUUUUCUUUACAAGGAGUGAAAUAUGUGCAGGAGGGCUGAAUGCUUUAUAGACAGAAAAACACAAACAACACAAAUCAACUUAUGUGUCACCGUCAUUUUCAUCUUCCCUUCCUUCUCAUCUUCCUGAGAUUCCUCCUUUUCCUUUUUCUUGCUCUUUUCCAGCCUUGCUGAUUCCCUUUUAUGCGGCAUCCGGCUUUCCUCUAGCUCCGUAGGCAGCAAUAUCCCUGUUGGAGAUUUCGGCCAGCUCAGCAGCCUUCUUUCCAGUCAGCAGAAGUGCUAUUCUCCGUCUCUGAGAGAGACGUCACCAGUGGACAGGCCGGGAUGUCCUCCUUUGGUUUGGGGGCAACACUCAAGACAGAACAAGGGAAAGGCCUCUUGGGUACACUGGGAUUCUUGAAUUUAUUCAUUUUUUGCUUCCUUCCAGAAGGGACUCAGGUUUUCAUUUGUGUUUCACAGUGGGUCUUGUCCACUUUUGCCAAGUCUUCUGGUUUUCCUCCCUCCUCAUGCUUCUGCCUCUCUGAGCACUUAGAAAAUUCCAGAAAGUCAACCAAAGUCUCUGGAUGCUUCUUGUGCUUCUUCUUGGUGAGUUCACACAAAGAAUGCACGUGAGGCCAUUUUGCCUCUUGGCUUCUUAGGAGCUCCUGUGUCAAUGUUUAUUUUUUCCUCAGUGAGGCACAGAGUCACCUACUGCCCUCCUGGCUCUCAAUUGCCCCAAUAUACUGCAAGGCUGUGAAUCCGGGAGUCAGACACAGCCUCCUUCCCUCUGUUCUGUGACUGAAGAUGUGGAUUGUAAGUGACUUUGUGGAUUUGGGUGUUAGCACACAAUCAUCUCUACACAGUUAGGAGAAAAAAAGUUUACAUAGAAUCUCCAGGACCUAAGCAGAAGACAUUAUGGUCUCUGUUCAUUAUGACAAUGACAGACCUGGUUUAUCUGGGCUUACACUCUCCAUCGCUUUUGUCGAACAUCAAACAUUUUUCUAAGAAGCUCUGGGAAAUAUCAACUUGUGGAACUGAAUUAACCAUUUCUGGUCGAUACGGCCCAAUCAUUAAGCAAUUGAUUGGACUACUCCAGAGCUCAUCCUCAUCUGGCUGUUCAGGCUGUUUUAUCGACAGAUGCGUAUAAACUGGGAUGGGGAUGUGAUAACUAGCCCAGCCAUUGGCCAUGCUGGAGGCUGAGAAAAGCCAUCGACACAGUACACGGGAAGAAGUUCCACUCACUGGCCUCAGGAAAAAGUACAACAUGUCUCUGGGGAAAGAGAAGAGGGUCAAGGGUGUUCUUUAAAGGCCUGGGUUUCACUCCAAGGCCAAGACCUUUCUGCAGUUACAUAGGGAGGGAGAGCUGCAGAGGAGCAAAGCUGCAUUUCAUGGCAUCUAAACAGCUCACCUGGAAAUAGCUAAGUACGCAAAGGAGAGGUGGAAGGACGGCUCAGUGUCGGGGGCCUCCUGAUGCGAUGCACCGGGGAGGGCACAAUGUGGUUCCUGUGGCCCCAGCCCAAAUGUACAACCUGAAAAGCCUGAGGAAACGGCAGACAAACGCAAGUCGGCAGAGAUUCUACAAAGUUACAGGCUUGUACUUUUCAAAGGUGGUGGCCUGAAAAGAAAAGGCUGAGGAACUGUCCCAGAUUGGAGAGGUCUGAGGAGAUGGACAACUAGUUGCAAGGUGGGCACCUGGAUUGAAUCUUGGACCAGACCUAGGGCACUGGUGUGACCGUGUGCAGAAUUUGAAUGAUGGGAGAGUCAGAUCUAUAUUGCAGUAAUGUUAUUUGAAAAUUCUGACAAUUCUAUGAGGAUUAUGUAAGAAUGUCAUUGAUCUUAGACAACAGUGAAGUAUUUAGAGACAAGGGGGUAGUGUGUAUCGCAACUCAAAUUUCAGACCUCAGGAGGAAAAAAAAAAUCACAUCUUUUUGUCCUUAAAGUAAGUGGUGCAUGUGAAUGUGUGUCCGGUGGGGGAAGGGAGGAGUGGCAGGGACAUAAAAUAAAAUGAUUGUGAUAAAAUGCUUAAUCUAGGUGAAGGGCAGACAGCUAUUCCUUGUUCUAUCUUUUGUAACCUCUUGGAAGUCUGAAAUUAUUUUGACAUAAAAAGUUAAAAGAAAUAACUAAGUGUUUAGUUUCUUCAUUAUUCUUAGUAAGGAAGUGGCUACUGAGUCUUCAAGUCUGCCUACAGGAUUUCUGUGGCUGGAUCAUGUGUAUGAGGGCUUCCUACCUGUGUGCACAUGGGGCAGGCAAAUGGAAGGAAUUGGCUGGGGUGGCUGGCCAGCUGCUGGAGGGACACUCUUCCCUCCUUAGCAAAUUCUCAGGUUCAUCUCGAAAUACCAGAGCCCUUGCUUUAGAACUGGAGGGGAUAUGAGAUUACAGAUUUUGGAGACCUUCUUGUUUUAUAAAGUAAGAAAAUGGAGUUCCUAAGCAACUGCUGCCAAGACCCACAUGGUAUAAUCUGAAAGCCACAAGCCACUUGCGGCUACUUGCAAUGGGGAUGCUCUCAGUUGAGAUGUUCUGUGAGUACAAAACACUCUCCAAACUCUGAAGACUUGUAUUAAGUAAAAGAGAAAUAAAUGUGUUUUUUUUGUACCAUUGAAAAGACAAUAGUUUGAGAUAUACUGGGUUAAAGGAAAUAUUCUAUUAAACUAAUUUCAUGUUUCUUUUAAUGCUUUUAAUAUGCCCACUAAAAUUUCAAUGUUAAAAUUCUAUGGGCCUCGUGUUAUAUUUCCUCCGGUUAGCAGUGAUCUAGAUAGAAACUUGGGGGUUAAGUAUUUGUUGAAAACCUAUGGAGAGCAGCAUUUCAAAUUCAAGUAUGAACAUGCAGUGGGUCCAUACAUCCAGCGGUUCUUCCACAAGGAGAGACAAAAGACACACAACAAACCACAAUACUGUGUGACGAGAGCCAUACUAGAGCAUGCAUAAGUGCCACUGAUAACCCACAGGAAGCCGACGACAGAGGCACCGAGGCAGCACUGUUGAAGCAUGGGAGAAGGUGUCAGGGUCUUCCAAGGGUCUUCCAGUCAAAAAGAGAAGCAAUGGGGAAAGUGUGGAGGUGCAAGGUGGCAUGGAGUAUGCUGGGAGGGCAAAUGGCUUGGCUGCUCUUGCAUCCAGCUGGAUGCAGGGUGGGGGGCAUUAGAUGGGGCUAGACUCUAGGUGCCUGUUGAUGGGGCUUGGAAUUUAUCUUCUAAGUGAUGGGAGAGUCAUGGAAGGGUUUUCAAUAAGCAAGUGCUGUAAGUUUUCUCCUUAUGUUCUAGAAGAGAUGCUCUGGAAGCCGUGUGGAGUUUAAGCUGCAAUGGGAUAAAGCAAAGGGACCUGCUAAGUGGGAAGAAGGUUGAGGAGGUGGAGUAGAACACCCUCAGUGAGUUGCUGGAGGGAGAGGAUCAGGGAAGGAAGUGUGUAGACGAUAUGCUCAGACCUGGCUUAGGAGAUGAGAGGGCAGCAGGAAUACAGGAUGGAGAGAUGGACAGGGGAAAAAGGAAAGAGAAUGAGUCCACUGAUUUUUUAAAGAUGAGGUAGAGACAGGGGACCUGCAGAAGACUAAAGUGGGAAUGUCCAGUUGGCCAGAUAAUGGUAGUACAGUUGGAGCUGGAUGAGGGCCCCAAGAGAGGAUGCAGUCCAAAAAAAAAAAAAAAAAAGAUGACAAAACCAAGGGAACAUAAAUACUUUAUGGAAGCUGAACAGAGAAAAAUGGAAGAGAGAACAGAGAAAAAUGUUGAUUUCCUCUUAACAUCAAAAAAAAAAAAAACCCAAAAACCCAAUCAUAAAUGGGC